rfam:Mus musculus chromosome 18, GRC primary reference assembly.
AACCCUUGGCAGUGAGCAAAGAGACACCUUGUUGGUGGUGGUAUUCUUAUAUCAGUCAGGGGCAGGGCAGUCAGUGGGCGGUCCUUCAUUCUAGUUCAAUGCCUGGCUUGGUGACUAAAGCUGUUUUAUGCCUAGGACUCAAAA